AAACUUAGGUUAAUACAAANCCAGGAGCCUUCAAAACUCCAAAUAUGGAA
rnacentral:tRNA from 1 species